UUAAGUGAUCUUUUUGUGAGCAAUAUUGUGGGGAAUUAAGUGAAUGACUAAUUAAGUGAUUUACAGAGGGAGCUGGUAGGGGUUUUAUGUCAUUAUUGUUCUAAACAGUUUUCCUCCUGUUUUGUGGAUAGACAGAGAGUUCAGGCUAGACUCCAUCAAAGAUGAACUCAGCAUUUUAAAUCAUCCUCUGAUCGAGUAGCUUCGGUCUGGUUCCCACCAUCAGACGAAGAUUUGUGGUCUUCUAUCAGCCCAGCACCUUCUGAGGUCAAAGAGUAAAGCCAUCUGAACACAGCUGGAGACCAGAUAUCUGGAGAGGCAGUGGGCGAAAAAGUGAGCCUGUGAGGGAAUUGGACCAAGAUGGAGGCUGAUUUACAGGAACAAAGAAUCCAGGCCAAGACUGGAUGCAGC